rnacentral:rRNA from 1 species
GACGAACGCUGGCGGCGUGCUUAACACAUGCAAGUCGAACGGAAAGGCCCUGCUUUUGUGGGGUGCUCGAGUGGCGAACGGGUGAGUAACACGUGAGUAACCUGCCCUUGACUUUGGGAUAACUUCAGGAAACUGGGGCUAAUACCGGAUAGGAGCUCCUGCUGCAUGGUGGGGGUCGGAAAGUUUCGGCGGUUGGGGAUGGACUCGCGGCUUAUCAGUUUGUUGGUGGGGUAGUGGCUUACCAAGGCUUUGACGGGUAGCCGGCCUGAGAGGGUGACCGGCCACAUUGGGACUGAGAUACGGCCCAGACUCCUACGGGAGGCAGCAGUGGGGAAUAUUGCACAAUGGGCGGAAGCCUGAUGCAGCAACGCCGCGUGCGGGAUGACGGCCUUCGGGUUGUAAACCGCUUUCGCCUGUGACGAAGCGUGAGUGACGGUAAUGGGUAAAGAAGCACCGGCUAACUACGUG